GUUAUUAUCUAUAACCAUAGGGAAGGCUUGCCUAACUUUUCAGUUGUUCUCUAUAACUGUAGGGAAGUUUUGUCUAACUAUUCAGAGUACCCAUUUGCCUGCUUAUGAAAUUGAAGUUUAAAAAUCAAAGCUAUGAAACUAAGAAUAAAAGGAAACUUCCUCAACUUGAUAAAGAGCAUCUGUGAAAAACCUAAAGUUAAUAUCAUACUUAAUGAUUAAAGAUUGGAGUAUUGUC